rnacentral:lncRNA from 1 species
UGCUCCCGGUGAUGACACCGGAGAUCCGCUCAACGGUGAUGGAUUGGAAUGGAUCUCGUCGUCGUCGUCCAUAACUACUCACCGCCGAUUCACCGAAAACAAAGGAGAGAGAAAGUGGUUAUAGAGAGAGAGAGAGAAAGAGAGAGAAGUUAGGGUUUAAAUUUAUUUAACAUAUUUAUUAUUAAUUUUUUGGCCGGCGAGAAUGAAUAUACCGACGCCUUUUCGUGGUUUGUUUCGAUUAUUUUUGUUUUUGUAUUUUAAAAUUUAUGAAAUUGGUAACGUUUUUUGACGGAAGAGGGUGAGUUGACGGUGACCGACGACACGUGGAGAAGAUAGAAAAAGGAGUGAUGACGUGGAAGAAUUUGAUUGGUUUGGUAUGAAAACUCCGUCACCGGCUCAGUUGGUAUCGCCGUGUUACUUCACUUGCCUGGUUUGUUUUCACGAUAAACUCUACGUUAGUUACGUUUCUAUUUCCGAAUUACCCAUUAAAACAGAUAUCCGUCAUAUUACCAAUUUACCCACAUUA